AAAUUGAAGAGUUUGAUCAUGGCUCAGAUUGAACGCUGGCGGCAGGCCUAACACAUGCAAGUCGAACGGUAACAGGAAACAGCUUGCUGUUUCGCUGACGAGUGGCGGACGGGUGAGUAAUGUCUGGGAAACUGCCCGAUGGAGGGGGAUAACUACUGGAAACGGUAGCUAAUACCGCAUAACGUCGCAA
rnacentral:rRNA from 1 species